rnacentral:rRNA from 1 species
UUAAGCGACUAAGCGUACACGGUGGAUGCCCUGGCAGUCAGAGGCGAUGAAGGGCGUGCUAAUCUGCGAUAAGCGCCGGUAAGGUGAUAUGAACCGUUAUAACCGGCGAUACCCGAAUGGGGAAACCCAGUGUGACUCGUCACACUAUCAUUAACUGAAUCCAUAGGUUAAUGAGGCGAACCGGGGGAACUGAAACAUCUAAGUACCCCGAGGAAAAGAAAUCAACCGAGAUUCCCCCAGUAGCGGCGAGCGAACGGGGAGGAGCCCAGAGCCUGAAUCAGCAUGUGUGUUAGUGGAAGCGUCUGGAAAGGCGCGCGAUACAGGGUGACAGCCCCGUACACAAAAGCGCAUGUGCUGUGAGCUCGAUGAGUAGGGCGGGACACGUGGUAUCCUGUCUGAAUAUGGGGGGACCAUCCUCCAAGGCUAAAUACUCCUGACUGACCGAUAGUGAACCAGUACCGUGAGGGAAAGGCGAAAAGAACCCCGGCGAGGGGAGUGAAAAAGAACCUGAAACCGUGUACGUACAAGCAGUGGGAGCCCCACCACCAAAGCAUUCUCUGGUGUUGAAGGCCCUGCAAAGCAGCAUCGCGGUGGCGGAGCGUCGUUUGCGACGCCCAACACACAAAACAAGCGGUGAAUGCUUUGGGGUGGGGUGACUGCGUACCUUUUGUAUAAUGGGUCAGCGACUUAUAUUCUGUAGCAAGGUUAACCGAAUAGGGGAGCCGGAGGGAAACCGAGUCUUAAUUGGGCGUUAAGUUGCAGGGUAUAGACCCGAAACCCGGUGAUCUAGCCAUGGGCAGGUUGAAGGUUGGGUAACACUAACUGGAGGACCGAACCGACUAAUGUUGAAAAAUUAGCGGAUGACCUGUGGCUGGGGGUGAAAGGCCAAUCAAACCGGGAGAUAGCUGGUUCUCCCCGAAAGCUAUUUAGGUAGCGCCUCGUGAAUUCAUCUCCGGGGGUAGAGCACUGUUUCGGCUAGGGGGCCAUCCCGGCUUACCAACCCGAUGCAAACUGCGAAUACCGGAGAAUGUUAUCACGGGAGACACACGGCGGGUGCUAACGUCCGUCGUGAAGAGGGAAACAACCCAGACCGCCAGCUAAGGUCCCAAAGUCAUGGUUAAGUGGGAAACGAUGUGGGAAGGCCCAGACAGCCAGGAUGUUGGCUUAGAAGCAGCCAUCAUUUAAAGAAAGCGUAAUAGCUCACUGGUCGAGUCGGCCUGCGCGGAAGAUGUAACGGGGCUAAACCAUGCACCGAAGCUGCGGCAGCGACGCUGAUGCGUUGUUGGGUAGGGGAGCGUUCUGUAAGCCUGCGAAGGUGACCUGUGAGGGUUGCUGGAGGUAUCAGAAGUGCGAAUGCUGACAUAAGUAACGAUAAAGCGGGUGAAAAGCCCGCUCGCCGGAAGACCAAGGGUUCCUGUCCAACGUUAAUCGGGGCAGGGUGAGUCGACCCCUAAGGCGAGGCCGAAAGGCGUAGUCGAUGGGAAACGGGUUAAUAUUCCCGUACUUGGUGUUACUGCGAAGGGGGGACGGAGAAGGCUAUGUUGGCCGGGCGACGGUUGUCCCGGUUUAAGCGUGUAGGUGUGUGUUCCAGGUAAAUCCGGUUCACUUUAACACUGAGGCGUGAUGACGAGGCACUACGGUGCUGAAGCAACAAAUGCCCUGCUUCCAGGAAAAGCCUCUAAGCAUCAGGUAACAUCAAAUCGUACCCCAAACCGACACAGGUGGUCAGGUAGAGAAUACCAAGGCGCUUGAGAGAACUCGGGUGAAGGAACUAGGCAAAAUGGUGCCGUAACUUCGGGAGAAGGCACGCUGACACGUAGGUGAAGUGAUUUACUCAUGGAGCUGAAGUCAGUCGAAGAUACCAGCUGGCUGCAACUGUUUAUUAAAAACACAGCACUGUGCAAACACGAAAGUGGACGUAUACGGUGUGACGCCUGCCCGGUGCCGGAAGGUUAAUUGAUGGGGUCAGCGCAAGCGAAGCUCCUGAUCGAAGCCCCGGUAAACGGCGGCCGUAACUAUAACGGUCCUAAGGUAGCGAAAUUCCUUGUCGGGUAAGUUCCGACCUGCACGAAUGGCGUAAUGAUGGCCAGGCUGUCUCCACCCGAGACUCAGUGAAAUUGAACUCGCUGUGAAGAUGCAGUGUACCCGCGGCAAGACGGAAAGACCCCGUGAACCUUUACUAUAGCUUGACACUGAACAUUGAGCCUUGAUGUGUAGGAUAGGUGGGAGGCUUUGAAGUGUGGACGCCAGUCUGCAUGGAGCCGACCUUGAAAUACCACCCUUUAAUGUUUGAUGUUCUAACGUGGACCCGUAAUCCGGGUUGCGGACAGUGUCUGGUGGGUAGUUUGACUGGGGCGGUCUCCUCCUAAAGAGUAACGGAGGAGCACGAAGGUUGGCUAAUCCUGGUCGGACAUCAGGAGGUUAGUGCAAUGGCAUAAGCCAGCUUGACUGCGAGCGUGACGGCGCGAGCAGGUGCGAAAGCAGGUCAUAGUGAUCCGGUGGUUCUGAAUGGAAGGGCCAUCGCUCAACGGAUAAAAGGUACUCCGGGGAUAACAGGCUGAUACCGCCCAAGAGUUCAUAUCGACGGCGGUGUUUGGCACCUCGAUGUCGGCUCAUCACAUCCUGGGGCUGAAGUAGGUCCCAAGGGUAUGGCUGUUCGCCAUUUAAAGUGGUACGCGAGCUGGGUUUAGAACGUCGUGAGACAGUUCGGUCCCUAUCUGCCGUGGGCGCUGGAGAACUGAGGGGGGCUGCUCCUAGUACGAGAGGACCGGAGUGGACGCAUCACUGGUGUUCGGGUUGUCAUGCCAAUGGCACUGCCCGGUAGCUAAAUGCGGAAGAGAUAAGUGCUGAAAGCAUCUAAGCACGAAACUUGCCCCGAGAUGAGUUCUCCCUGAGACUUAAAGUCUCCUGAAGGAACGUUGAAGACGACGACGUUGAUAGGCCGGGUGUGUAAGCGCAGCGAUGCGUUGAGCUAACCGGUACUAAUGAACCGUGAGGCUUAACCUU